rnacentral:rRNA from 1 species
UCCUGGCUCAGGGUGAACGCUAGCUACAGGCUUAACACAUGCAAGUCGAGGGGCAGCAUUAGAUUAGCUUGCUAAUUAGAUGGCGACCGGCGCACGGGUGAGUAACGCGUAUCCAACCUUCCCCCUGCUCAGGGAUAGCCCGGUGAAAACCGGAUUAAGACCUGAUAGUUUCACUAGAUGGCAUCUGACGGUGAAUAAAGGUUUCGGCAUGGGAUGGGGAUGCGUCUGAUUAGCUUGUUGGCGGGUAACGGCCCACCAAGGCGACGAUCAGUAGGGGUUCUGAGAGGAAGGUCCCCCACAUUGGAACUGAGACACGGUCCAAACUCCUACGGGAGGCAGCAGUGAGGAAUAUUGGUCAAUGGGCGGAAGCCUGAACCAGCCAAGUAGCGUGCCAGGAUGACGGCCCUAUGGGUUGUAAACUGCUUUUGUGCGGGAAUAAAGUCAGGGACGCGUCCCUGUUUGCAUGUACCGCAAGAAUAAGGACCGGCUAAUUCCGUGCCAGCAGCCGC